CUUUUGUUAUCCUUUAUCUUGACUCUACUAUUAGGUUGUAUGCAUGAUCAUUUUUGUGUCUGCUUUGGUUAUGUGAUAUUAAUAACCAGUGUUGGGACUAACGCGUUAUUAAGUAACGCGUUACCGUAACUACGUUAUUAUUGUGGUAAUGAGCACGGUAACUAGUUAUUAUGCCAAAACCAGGAACGCGUUACUCGUUACUGGGAUUUAGAUAGGCUCGUUACUCGUUACUUCGUGUGGUGGAUGUCGCGGAGCUUCCACAGAUUCAAUAACAUUAGCAAGUGGUGGAAGCCAGCAGGUGGAUGAAGGAAAAGGGAGGCAAGAGGAGGGCACAACACCAGUCCGAGUGUCAGGUGAACUGAACUUCAGUUAUGUACUGAUGAACACAACAAUGGACAUAAGGAGCUUCUUUCAAAGAAAAAACUC
ensembl:lncRNA